AUAUUGCAAGUGGUUCUUAAUGACCCAUAUCAUCCCCCAAUUUUUUUACAUACGUUUCAAUCGUGUUAAAAUUGAACGAAGGUCUAGCCCAACAUCUUUUUUUAUCUCAUGAGUCAAUGACACCUGCAAAUUCUCCAUCAAGCAACACAAUUUAUCGAUUAUUAACCAGGUAAUAACUGGAUGAGAUUCAAAAUUCAGCACGAUUUGUAAACGGCGUGGAGGAACCUAAAACCUAAACUAAAACUAGGAAAGCACUGGUAACUCGUUUCCGAUCUGUGCGAAGUGAUCCCUGCUACCGGACUUCUGGUAGUCGUACCUCUUAUUCUCUAGUUUCUCGUGCCACUCGCGGGGUUGUUUCUGGACCUUCUGGAGGGCGUUGCGGAGAAGGUAGUUGUGGAAGCGGAGGACGGCCGGGAUGCGGGAGGUGUGGCAGAAGAAGAGCUUGGUGAGGCCGAAGAAGAAGUUCUGGACGACGGUGAGCUUGCUGGAUACGGAGGGGAUCUCGAUGUCCAGGGCCCAGCACAUGUAGCUCAGCGAGACCUCGAACGUCACGCCGGGGAUGUAGUAGGAGAUCCCUUCGACCAUGCAUCGCGACAUGUGCUCCCAGUCGGGACCUGCGUCCUUGAACCUGGAAACGGAAGACAGUCGCAUUAAUUAUUGUACUUUCGUGUGCGCUGCAUCUGGGCAAAAUUUCAAAAUUAGGAAAAUGUUCACGCCCAUCUUACCUGAAGUUCCUUCUUGAAAGCCUCGUCGAAACCGGCAAAGGGGCAUGUUCCAGCGAGGUCCUUGCGGAUGCCCUGGUAGCUGGGGCACCAGACCCCCUCUCGACCCGGUUCGCCGGCCAUGGUGCCCCGCCGCGUGACUUCCUCCCUCGGGCACCCGUUCAGUUUCCGACUCGCGUUCAAGUGCAUCGCCCGCACGGCGCGCAAGUUCUUGUAGCCCACGCUCUUCGUGUCGAAUAUAUCACAGUCGAUCCAGGAUUUCACCCGCAGGCCCGUCGAUAGAUACCUGAAAACAAAUGCGAUUUCAGUCAUUUGAACGGAAAACAAGCGGGAAACAUGAAUAUGUCGAAGGCAAAUAGUAAAAUCAGGCAUUUUGUCAAAUGCCUAGGCAAAUAGUCAACUAUUCUUACUUAGAUUUAAAUUUUGAUUAUUAUCCUAAUUUUAGAAAAAAUAAUUCGUUGCUCCUGUAAGGAAGAAUUCUCUGUAAACAUAUGCAGCAUACAAUAGUAUUUUAAACGAUUUUUAGUUCCUAAACGCAAAUUUAUAUUGGAAUUUUCAGCACGUCAUGAAACCUGGAAUUUUACAAAUUUCAACAUUUAUAAGUGCUAGAGGCAUUUGAAAAGGAAGGAACAGGGAGAGUUCACGGAUUUGGAGAGUUAUUCCUCCCAAAAUAUUGGAAAGCCGUGAACUCGUUGCCAUAACUUUACAGAAUUUAGUAAACUAUCAAAAUUUGCCUACCGUCUUAAGCAUUUGAUAAAAUGCCUAAUUUGACUAAUUGCCGUCGACACAGAUAUCGUCACCUUUUAGCCAAAGUAUCUCAAGCGUCACGCAACAUUUCACAAUUUCCGCCGCCAUUUUACUUUUUUUUUUUACGGAGAAAUUGAUCAACGAAGCUGUCCAAACAUUUCACUGAAUUCUCUUUGUGCUGCCGAAUAAAUUCAAUGGAAUUUUCAAACAGAUUCAACCAACAAUUUCUCUGUAAAAAAAUAAAAUGGCAGCGGAAAUUUAGAAACGUCGUCGCAUGACGCCUGUGAUUCUUUGGCCGGAAGGUGACGCUAUACCCGCGGUGAAACUCCCAAACCACGUAUUUCGCUCGCAAUGUUUUAAAAUCUCAGAUCUUAUUAUAAUAUUCAUGCGAAGGUAAAAUAAAUCAACAGCAUUCCUUGUAUUUUCACAGAAUUUUCUUCGCGCAAGAGAAAGACUGUCACCACUAUCGAAUACGAUCAAUGAAUAUGUGUUUGUAUAUUUACCUUUUGAAGGCUUUAUAAGGUGUGUGCGAAUUUCCGGUGAAUAUUAAAGGCUCGAGGGUUCUGUCAGGGAGAAACAGCAGGUACAAAGAGACCAUCUCCGCGAAGUUGAUUCCGAAGUAGUACUUGUGGCCGAACUGACGACCUAGUUGAUACUUCUUCUUGUCAAACCAGCUCGGCACAUCCUCAAUAGGCACUUGAAAGCUGUCAGGCAACCCGACCUUCGUCCCGUCCCUGAUUAGCCUUGAAAAUGGGAAGGAUAUUUCAUUAAAAUUGCAAAAUACAAGGUCGUAAAUAUAAAUGUGCGUGCAGACCAUGUCUCCAUAUCGACGACAGAAGAAUGUUUUACUUUACUGAUAAAAGUCGACGUGGAGCGUCAGGUUCAGUUAAAUAAAAUUACAAUCAGGUAAUUGCUAAAAACAUACGAUAGAGAAUUUGCACGCAAAUUUUUUAUUGCUUCAUUUGAGAGUGGUUAAAGAUCUGUUUUCGCAGUAUUUAUCAUUAAUUUUUUCUGUUAUGGGAAAUUGUAGAAUGGCCAAUUUAAGUGAGUAAAUGUGCCACCUUGUGACGUAACCUGGUGGCACUUUCCAUUCAAACACAUGUAUUUUAGUAUAAUUGAUCAUUUUGUCAUACAUCCUCCAAUUAUUGUUUAAUUCAUGAGCCAAAGCUGUCUUCGAGUGUUUAGUUCACUUGGUUGAUUCCACCUAAACACAAAAUGCAUCAAAUUCCACACAUCUGCGAAUACUUCAUUGUGUUGGAUACAAAACAAUCAACGCCUGCGUAGGUUAUGCGGCCUAAACUCAAAAUUGAAGGCGUUUUAUAAGCAUGCAGAAUGAGUUCGAAUAGAGAAUUUGCAGGUGUUUGAUGGAUUUCGUGUUUAAGUGGAAACUACUAAGUGAGCUGAACACGAGAAUUACCCGGGUUCCUGAAUUGAACAAUUAUUGGAGAAGAUAUUACAAAAUUAUCUAAUCUUCUAAAAUACAUGUGUUUAAAUGGGGGAAAUGCCGCCAGAUGACGUCACUAGGGUGUGCAUUUUCUCACUUUUAAAUCUAUUUUUAUUUCCCAUAUCAGAAAAAAUUUAUAAAAAAUACUGUGAAAUCAGCUCUUUAAGCACUUUCAGAUGAUGCAAUGACAAAUUUGCAUGCAAAUUCCUAACCCUCUCAAACAAGAUACAACAGGAUUUUAGAUCAGUAAAAUCGAAUGGCUCAUUUUUGCAGUGGCAUUUUUUCCUCUUAUUUGGGUCUACGAAAGAAAUGUUUAAGGAAUUAACAGCUGAGAUGUGCUUUUGUGCGUAUUGGAUUCGUUUUUAAUAAAAGCAUAUAGGAUGUCAGCAAAACGUGUCCAUUAUUUCAAUGUUUGCUUUUC
rnacentral:lncRNA from 1 species